rnacentral:misc_RNA from 1 species
GAUGAAGAACGUAGCGAAAUGCGAUAAGUAAUGUGAAUUGCAGAAUUCAGUGAAUCGUCGAAUCUUUGAACGCACAUUGCGCCCAUUAGUAUUCUAGUGGGCAUGCCUGUUCGAGCGUCAUUAAUUCCACUUAAGCCCUGCUUAGUGUUGGGAAUCUACUCUAGUGGUGCUACCCUGGAGCUACCCCUGAAAGGGGGCUGGCCCGGUAGCUACCCUGUAGUUCCUCAAAGAUAGUGCGCGGAGUUGCGUGGUCCUCUGAGCUUAGUAACUAUACACCUAGCUUUUGAGUGUCCCGCGGCGCCUGCCGUUUAAACCCCAUCUUUUAAUGGUUGACCUCGGAUCAGGUAGGAAUACCCGCUGAACUUAAGCAUAUCAAUAAGCGGAGGA